GCCAGGCCUGAGAGUCAGGGAUUUUGCCUCCUCCAUUUUUUGGGAGGGGGCAGCGCGUGGCUGGAGGCUCGGCUGCUGCCCCCCCCGAGCAGGCGGCACCCCCGGCUGGGUGCCUGCAGGAGCAGCGGUGUAGGGCCGUGGUCAGUGGGAGCGGGGGCUCUAAACCAUGGAUCAGGAGCAGCCCAAAACAAUCAGCAGGUGCAAUUUCUUAUAAAGAAAUUUUGGUAAAUUUGGUAAAGGCAGCCUGUCCUCAAAAGAAGGGAAAUGGCUUUUAUGGAGGAGCCUUGCAAGUCCCCCCGCAUACUUUAAAAAAUAAACAAAAUUUGUUUUUUAUUUCUAGGUGACCUAUUCUCAUUUUUUUUUUUCUGGUGUACCCUGUGAGACAACUGGCAAUAGAAUGGAAGCAUUUCUUAAAAAUUAAAAGAGGAUAUUAAUUUUAAAUUCACAUGCUUCUGUGCAAAACUUUUGUGCUGAAACACUGGUAAAAUAGCUGGAAAUGCUGCUCAGAUGCUCGUGGUGUUUGUUUGGUUUACAGCUGCAGUCUCAGCUAGUCCAGGAAGCCUUGAUGGAGAGAGGCAGCUUUUCAACACGAAUGGCACUUCAACGGGCGCUUUGUAAAUGUUACAAAGACGAGCCCUGGGAUAUUUUAAAGCCCUGCUAAUGGGAAGGAAGGGAACUGCACGCUGUGGAGACAUGGGGCAUGGGGCACGUUUCGGGUGCGCCCUGGUGAGAGCAUCCCCAGCACAGCCCUGCGAGCCCUUAACAUGAAGGAAUUUAGACUUUGGGCAAGACUGCUAUUGGCCAAAAUAUUGCAUUUUCUGGCUGCCUGUUCCCAGCUGGGACCCUGCCCAGAGGCCAGCUCCUGCAGCAGGGCGGAUGGCAGCUGCCCUCGCCAGUGGCUGGAGACCCUGGAAGACCAGCGGUGGUUUUCGGAAGGCAUCACGUUUCCCUGUCCCGCUCCUCCUGAGGGCUUACUCUUGCAGGACAAACACACUGCUGCGCACACAGAGCUCUGCAGCUUUAGGAGACUUAAGGAUUCUCCGCACAUCGCUGCUCCGCGCCAGACCCUUGAUUGGGAUGCAGGGCUCCUCGCUGCCAGGCUUCUGUCUCUGGGCUGUGGCACACAUUGUGAGAAAGAUAAAACAGAAAUAAAGAUCUCUUGGCCAGCUGAAAGUAAUGCAAACUCAGAGCCAUUUGGCACCGGCCCUGGAUUUAGGCACAGACGCGUUCUUGACAAUUAG
rnacentral:lncRNA from 1 species